rnacentral:rRNA from 1 species
AGGUUAAGUCGAGGAGACGGAGCCGCAGCGAAAGCGAGUCUGAAUAGGGCGUUUGAGUAUGAGGUCGUAGACCCGAAACCAGGUGAUCUACCCAUGUCCAGGGUGAAGGCAAGGUAACACUUGCUGGAGGCCCGAACCCACGUACGUUGAAAAGUGCGGGGAUGAGGUGUGGGUAGCGGUGAAAUUCCAAUCGAACCUGGAGAUAGCUGGUUCUCUCCGAAAUAGCUUUAGGGCUAGCCUCAAGGAGAAGAGUCUUGGAGGUAGAGCACUGUUUGGACUAGGGGCCCUCAUCGGGUUACCGAAUUCAGACAAACUCCGAAUGCCAAUGACUUAUCCUUGGGAGUCAGACUGCGAGUGAUAAGAUCCGUAGUCAAGAGGGAAACAGCCCAGACCGCCAGCUAAGGUCCCCAAGUAUCCGUUAAGUGGAAAAGGAUGUGGAGUUGCUUAGACAACCAGGAUGUUGGCUUAGAAGCAGCCACCAUUUAAAGAGUGCGUAAUAGCUCACUGGUCGAGUGAUUCUGCGCCGAAAAUGUACCGGGGCUAAACGGAUCACCGAAGCUGCGGAUUGACAUCUUUGAUGUCAGUGGUAGGAGAGCGUUCUAAGGGCGGUGAAGCAAGACCGGAAGGACUUGUGGAGCGCUUAGAAGUGAGAAUGCCGGUAUGAGUAGCGAAAGAAGGGUGAGAAUCCCUUCCACCGAAUGCCUAAGGUUUCCUGAGGAAGGCUCGUCCGCUCAGGGUCAGUCGGGGCCUAAGCCGAGGCCGAAAGGCGUAGGCGAUGGACAACAGGUUGAUAUUCCUGUACCACCUUUUUACCAUUUGAGCAAUGGGGGGACGCAGGAGGAUAGGGUAAGCGCGCUGUUGGAUAUGCGCGUCCAAGCAGUUAGGCUGGGGUGGAGGCAAAUCCUUCAUCCUAAAGCGGAGCUGUGAUGGCGAGGGAAAUGUAGUACCGAAGUUCCUGAUUCCACACUGCCAAGAAAAGCCUCUAGCGAGGUAAAAGGUGCCCGUACCGCAAACCGACACAGGUAGGCGAGGAGAGAAUCCUAAGGUGAUCGAGAGAACUCUCGUUAAGGAACUCGGCAAAAUGACCCCGUAACUUCGGGAGAAGGGGUGCUCCUAGGGGUGAAUAGCCCUAGGGAGCCGCAGUGAAUAGGCCCAGGCGACUGUUUAGCAAAAACACAGGUCUCUGCGAAGCCGCAAGGCGAAGUAUAGGGGCUGACGCCUGCCCGGUGCUGGAAGGUUAAGAGGAGCGCUUAGGUGCAAACCGAAGGUGCGAAUUGAAGCCCCAGUAAACGGCGGCCGUAACUAUAACGGUCCUAAGGUAGCGAAAUUCCUUGUCGGGUAAGUUCCGACCCGCACGAAAGGCGCAACGAUCUGGGCACUGUCUCAACGAGAGACUCGGUGAAAUUAUAGUACCUGUGAAGAUGCAGGUUACCCGCGACAGGACGGAAAGACCCCGUGGAGCUUUACUGCAGCCUGAUAUUGAAUGUUGGUGCAGCUUGUACAGGAUAGGUAGGAGCCUUGGAAACCGGAGCGCCAGCUUCGGUGGAGGCAUCGGUGGGAUACUACCCUUGCUGUACUGACCUUCUAACCCGCACCCGUAAUCCGGGUGGGAGACAGUGUCUGGCAGGCAGUUUGACUGGGGCGGUCGCCUCCUAAAGAGUAACGGAGGCGCCCAAAGGUUCCCUCAGAAUGGUUGGAAAUCAUUCGUAGAGUGUAAAGGCACAAGGGAGCUUGACUGCGAGACCUACAAGUCGAGCAGGGACGAAAGUCGGGCUUAGUGAUCCGGUGGUUCCGCAUGGAAGGGCCAUCGCUCAACGGAUAAAAGCUACCCCGGGGAUAACAGGCUUAUCUCCCCCAAGAGUUCACAUCGACGGGGAGGUUUGGCACCUCGAUGUCGGCUCAUCGCAUCCUGGGGCUGUAGUCGGUCCCAAGGGUUGGGCUGUUCGCCCAUUAAAGCGGUACGCGAGCUGGGUUCAGAACGUCGUGAGACAGUUCGGUCCCUAUCCGUCGCGGGCGCAGGAAAUUUGAGAGGAGCUGUCCUUAGUACGAGAGGACCGGGAUGGACGCACCGCUGGUGUACCAGUUGUCUUGCCAAAGGCAUCGCUGGGUAGCUAUGUGCGGACGGGAUAAGUGCUGAAAGCAUCUAAGCAUGAAGCCCCCCUCAAGAUGAGAUUUCCCAUCGCGCAAGCGAGUAAGAUCCCUGAAAGAUGAUCAGGUUGAUAGGUCCGGUGUGGAAGUGUGGCGACACAUGGAGCUGACGGAUACUAAUCGAUCGAGGACUUAAUCUA